AAAAACAAAGAGGACAGGGGUGAGUGGCGGAGCGGGAGGUGAGCCAGGAAUAGGCACCAGUUCCACCCUUGCAGCCCAGGCCCCAGCAGGGUCCAGCCCACCUCUCUCACCUCUUGACGUUGCUGUGGAUGAUCUCCAGACCAUGCAGUGACAUGCGGUGGCCCCACCUGGCACCACAGGGCAUUUGGAAGUGAGCAGGAGUGAGGAACAGAUGGGGAGGGGCGGUGUCGGCAGGGCUACCUGUGACCAGACCUGUCAGCACACUUGGGGCUAACAUCCACCCUCCCACACAAGAGGCACCAGGUCACACCAGCCACGGAUGUAAGCCAACAGAGCCCCAUGUCAGCCCCAACAAGAAGUUCUGGUUUCCUGUGAAACCCCCAUCUUCUCAAGCUUUGAGUUUUUAGAUGUCUUUAAAAUGCAAGCAAUAAAUGGUGCGUAUAAACAUG
rnacentral:lncRNA from 1 species